rnacentral:rRNA from 1 species
AUGGACAUUCCACUACUGGAGGUCCUUGUUGAGCAUCACAACAAUGGCGAUCAUGCCCAAAAUGGAUGGAAGUCCCAUGUCUACAGUGCUGUUAUAGGUAAUGUGCAUGAGAAGUGCAAUGUGACCAUCACAAAGGAAAACAUCAAUUCAAGGUGCAAAACCUUUGAAAAGCACUAUGAGGCCAUUAGCAAGAUGCUUUCUAAAAGUGGAUUUGGGUGGGAUUGGGUCAAUAACAAGUUGUCAAUUGAUAGUGAAGAUGUGUGGACUAAAUAUGUUGCGGCUAAUAAGAAAAUAGCUUUUUACAAGAACAAGGUCAUUAAGAAUUGGUAUGCUAUCACCACCAUCUACUCAAAAGAUCAUGCCAAUGGUGAAGGUGUCGUCACAUGCGUCGAAAGUCUUGUGCCACUAGUUGCAGGAGCAACUGAAGACUCUCCUGAACCCCCAACAAAAAAAUAG